AUGGUGUCCAUUUUGGCAUGGAGUGAUCAAAGCACAACAAAAGAACUUAUUGCCCCACCAUCUUUGUUUACUUGUUUUUCAUGUUUGAUGUUGAAAGCUCACGGCUGCAGCUUUGGUGAUCUCAGAUUCUCAGAAUUUUGCGGGAACUAUUGCCUGGAUCCUACUUUCAUCUUUGGUCUAUUGAUCUUGCCUCGGAACUACAUAAGUUUGCCAAGUGUUUCUUAUGUAUUACAUUAG